rnacentral:rRNA from 1 species
UGGGGAAUUUUGGACAAUGGGCGCAAGCCUGAUCCAGCCAUGCCGCGUGCGGGAAGAAGGCCUUCGGGUUGUAAACCGCUUUUGUCAGGGAAGAAAUCUUCUGAGUUAAUACCUCGGGAGGAUGACGGUACCUGAAGAAUAAGCACCGGCUAACUACGUGCCAGCAGCCGCGGUAAUACGUAGGGUGCAAGCGUUAAUCGGAAUUACUGGGCGUAAAGCGUGCGCAGGCGGUUUUGUAAGACAGAGGUGAAAUCCCCGGGCUCAACCUGGGAACUGCCUUUGUGACUGCAAGGCUUGAGUGCGGCAGAGGGGGAUGGAAUUCCGCGUGUAGCAGUGAAAUGCGUAGAUAUGCGGAGGAACACCGAUGGCGAAGGCAAUCCCCUGGGCCUGCACUGACGCUCAUGCACGAAAGCGUGGGGAGCAAACAGGAUUAGAUACCCUGGUAGUCCACGCCCUAAAACGAUGUCAACUGGUUGUUGGGAAGGUUCCUUCUCAGUAACGUAGCUAACGCGUGAAGUUGACCGCCUGGGGAGUACGGCCGCAAGGUUGAAACUUAAAUGAAUUGACGGGGU